CAAGGCUGCGGGCACGAGCUUCUGGCAGACGCACCUGAAAGGAAGCUGACAAAUCUGCAGGAAGAAAAGGGAGGCCAUUAGAAAUGACAAGAAGCGAAAAGCUGAUGCAGAAAAGUGAGGAUGACCGCCGGCAGGCAAGCUAAGAGCAGCAAACCCCAGCAAGAGCUGUUGAUCCCUGAGGAAUCGGGGUCCAGUGCAGGUGUGCCUGGCUGACACACAGGCCCUGUGCAACCUGAAUCUGAGCUGACUGAGGCUGUCCGAGUGUGGCUAUAUACUGCGUUCAGGAACAUAGGUGUAGUCAGGUUGUAUUCUCUUGAAAUCUGCAAUAGUCGACUCUCCUUUCAGACUAGGACAUUACUAUGCUAAUUACUGCAUUUCUGUAGUUAAUCUAUGGUCUUUAACUAUAGAUGACAGCCCUGUCAGCUCUCAGCAGAUAAAAGGCAGUGCAAACCAGUUGAGCCAUGUUGUAUUGAGUGUGCCUCGAUGGGUUGUUUGACAUGCAGUAACAUGUUAAUCCCUAAAGCAUCGCACUUGCUAGGCUGCAGACCUCUCCUCAUUCAGUUGUGCUUAAAGACAUGGUAUGACCUAGAAAAACUACAGUGCUAUUGUAGAAUUUUAAAUACCUAGAAACUGUUUAAGUCUUCUGACUGUAAAUGGUUAUAGUCUGUGGAAACAAUUUUCAUUGGAAAAAUCUUCCCUGUAAAAUAAGAUCCAGUGUCUGGUUUCUUUCUUGGGUUCUGUAUGAAGCAACAAUAGUAGUGAUACACACACAUAUAUAUAUAUAUUUAAAUAUAUAAUUUUUACUUUGGGUGCAGAAAUGUUACUAUUUUUCUAUCUAACAUGAUUUUUAAAAGUAGCCAAAAACAGUUUAUGUCAGUAAGGUAACUCACCCAUGUGCCAGGUGAAGCAGUGUGUCUUCAAUCUUCCUGCUGUAUGCUCUGUUAAAUUCAUCCCCAAUUAGUGCCAGCUGAUGGCCAACCUGGACAGCUGAGCUGGAAGGUAUUCAGGAUGUCCACGUUAGAGGAAAACACUGCAACCUUGCUUCUUUAAAAAGCACUCUGAAAGUGUCAAGUACAAUCAUUUCCCUAAUGGAUGGACUAAGCUUGGCAUGUAAAAGCUAAAUGUUAGGGCUUUUUUAUUAUUUAUAGGUUUAUUGAUCAGGCACCUUAAGUCCAUACUUAUAGGCUUAAGUGCUGUGAUGUUUUCAUAAAAACCUGCAUAUCUGACACUUUUUAAAAGCCAUGGUGUCUAAUUCCUUCAUGUAAUACAACAGUAUUCCAGUCUUAGAAUUUUUUUCCACAAAGUUGAAAUAUUGAAAGCCUUCACUUCAGAUGACUCAAAAUAUCUCAUAUUACAUAACUGAUAACUUUUUUUUUUCCAACAGAAUUACUCCAGUGAUCUCCACAAUGCAGUCCAGUUCUUCAGCUAACAGGUGAUGCUAGAGCCAAAGCACGUUAGCUGUUCAAGAUCCUGGGGCACACAGGUCCCUGAGCUAUGACUGCUGUCAAACACAAAAGCUAAGGAAUUUUGGUGGGUCCCGCUAUACUGAUGAAAAUCUUUAAUUAAGUUUAGUUUCUUUUAGAUGUGCAUGCUUUUUUUUUUUUUUUUUUGGUAUAAAAAUAAUUAUGACUAUGUAUUUUCAUUUUGACUUGUAUUUCUGCUGAGAUCUGUUUAUGGGACCUGCUGCACAGUAAGUGGACUUAAAAGCCUUAUUCUAGAGAUGGACUUUAAAAAAAUUCAGGGUUGGUUUGGUCAGUCAAACAAACAAACAAAAAAACAUAGAAAGGAAUUUUCACAGGCAGGAAAGACAGCCCCUGACUGCUGAACUGGAAAAAAAAUGUGUGCACAGGAUUUAAAAAAAAAAAAAAAAAAAAAAAAAAAAAAG